GUGUUCACUUUGGCAGCACAUAGACUAAAAUUGGAAUGAUACAUUGAAGAUUAGCAUGGCCAUUGCAUAAGAAUAACAUGCAAAUCUGUGAAGCAUUCCAUAUUUUA